rnacentral:tRNA from 1 species
GGCAGCGUGGCUUAGUGGAAAAAGCACAGGCUUGGGAGUCAGAGAUCGCGGGUUCUAAUCCCGGCUCCGCCA